rnacentral:tRNA from 1 species
CGCGACGCUCGCGGUGCCGGCGCGGGGACGGCGGCGGGCCGUCCCGCCGCGAAACGCCUUGCGCGGCGCCGGUUCGCCGCCGCCCGCCGCGGC